AUUGAACGCUGGCGGCAGGCCUAACACAUGCAAGUCGAGCGGAUGACGGGAGCUUGCUCCUUGAUUCAGCGGCGGACGGGUGAGUAAUGCCUAGGAAUCUGCCUGGUAGUGGGGGACAACGUUUCGAAAGGAACGCUAAUACCGCAUACGUCCUACGGGAGAAAGCAGGGGACCUUCGGGCCUUGCGCUAUCAGAUGAGCCUAGGUCGGAUUAGCUAGUUGGUGGGGUAAUGGCUCACCAAGGCGACGAUCCGUAACUGGUCUGAGAGGAUGAUCAGUCACACUGGAACUGAGACACGGUCCAGGCUCCUACGGGAGGCAGCAGUGGGGAAUAUUGGACAAUGGGCGAAAGCCUGAUCCAGCCAUGCCGCGUGUGUGAAGAAGGUCUUCGGAUUGUAAAGCACUUUAAGUUGGGAGGAAGGGCAGUAAGCGAAUACCUUGCUGUUUUGACGUUACCGACAGAAUAAGCACCGGCUAACUCUGUGCCAGCCGCCGCAGUAA
rnacentral:rRNA from 1 species